UGGCUCAGGAUGAACGCUGGCGGCAUGCCUAAGACAUGCAAGUCGAACGAGAUGGCCCAGUGAAGGUUGAGUGCUUGCACAAGACUGAAUCUGGAUUCCCAUCUAGUGGCAGACGGGUGAGUAACACGUGGGUGACCUACCUUUUUGUUGGGGAUGACAGUUGGAAACGAUUGCUAAUACCGAAUAAAAUGUAAGAGUCAAUUUUACAUUGAAAGGAGCCUUUAAAGCUUCGCGAUUAGAUGGGCCUGCGGCGUAUUAACUAGUUGGUGAGGUAAUGGCUUACCAAGGUGACGAUGCGUAGCCGAACUGAGAGGUUGAUCGGCCACAUUGGGACUGAGACACGGCCCAAACUCCUACGGGAGACAGCAGUUAGGAAUAUUCGUCAAUGGAGGAAACUCUGAACGAGCAAUGCCGCGUGAGUGAUGAAGGUCUUAUAGAUUGUAAAACUCUGUUGUAUGGAAAAAACGACUAGGUUAGGAAAUGAACUUAGUGUGAUGGUACCAUACCAGAAAGCCCCGGCUAACUACGUGCCAGCAGCCGCGGUAAUACGUAGGGGGCGAGCGUUAUCCGGAUUUAUUGGGCGUAAAGCGUGUGUAGGCGGUUUAUUAAGUUUAAGAUUAAAGCCCGGGGCUCAACUCCGGUAAGUCUUAAAAACUGGUAGACUUGAGUACGGUAGAGGCAAACGGAAUUUCUAGUGUAGCGGUGAAAUGCGUAGAUAUUAGAAGGAACACCAGUGGCGAAAGCGGCUUGCUGGGCCGUUACUGACGCUGAGGCACGAAAGCGUGGGGAGCAAAUAGGAUUAGAUACCCUAGUAGUCCACGCCGUAAACGAUGAGUACUAAGUGUUGGGGUUACCCAGUGCUGAAGCUAACGUAUUAAGUACUCCGCCUGAGUAGUACGGUCGCAAGGCUGCAACUCAAAUGAAUUGACGGA
rnacentral:rRNA from 1 species